CUCGAGCUUGCUCGAGGUGAUCAGUGGCGAACGGGUGAGUAACACGUGAGUAACCUGCCCCAGACUCUGGGAUAACUCCGAGAAAUCGGUGCUAAUACCGGAUACGAGACGCACAGGCAUCUGUAGCGUCUGGAAAGAAUUUCGGUCUGGGAUGGACUCGCGGCCUAUCAGUUAGUUGGUGAGGUAACGGCUCACCAAGACGACGACGGGUAGCCGGCCUGAGAGGGCGACCGGCCACACUGGGACUGAGACACGGCCCAGACUCCUACGGGAGGCAGCAGUGGGGAAUAUUGCACAAUGGGCGCAAGCCUGAUGCAGCGACGCCGCGUGGGGGAUGAAGGCCUUCGGGUUGUAAACCCCUUUCAGCAGGGAAGAAGCGAAAGUGACGGUACCUGCAGAAGAAGCGCCGGCUAACUACGUGCCAGCAGCCGCGGUAAUACGUAGGGCGCAAGCGUUGUCCGGAAUUAUUGGGCGUAAAGAGCUCGUAGGCGGUUUGUCGCGUCUGCUGUGAAAACCCGAGGCUCAACCUCGGGCCUGCAGUGGGUACGGGCAGACUAGAGUGCGGUAGGGGAGACUGGAAUUCCUGGUGUAGCGGUGGAAUGCGCAGAUAUCAGGAGGAACACCGAUGGCGAAGGCAGGUCUCUGGGCCGCAACUGACGCUGAGGAGCGAAAGCAUGGGGAGCGAACAGGAUUAGAUACCCUGGUAGUCCAUGCCGUAAACGUUGGGCACUAGGUGUGGGGCUCAUUCCACGAGUUCCGUGCCGCAGCUAACGCAUUAAGUGCCCCGCCUGGGGAGUACGGCCGCAAGGCUAAAACUCAAAGGAAUUGACGGGGGCCCGCACAAGCGGCGGAGCAUGCGGAUUAAUUCGAUGCAACGCGAAGAACCUUACCAAGGCUUGACAUAUACCGAAAACUCAUGGAGACAUGGGGUCCGCAAGGGCGGUAUACAGGUGGUGCAUGG
rnacentral:rRNA from 1 species